GAAUCUUCUUCUCCUAUCUCGAUCUAUGCCCGAGCCCAACCGAUCCCCUGUCUUCUCCACCGGCCUCCCCGUGCUCUCAACCUUCCGGGGGCGCGCUCAACUUUGCCUAGCCGGGAAGCUUGAGUUCCGCAAGCCCCAGCCCCUCGCCUCUCCUCGCCACCGCCGGAAACUGUCAUGGUGUUUGCGCCCCGCCCCCCUCCCCCUCCAUAGCAAAGGAGGCAGGGGAAGGUGUGCUUUGCGCCACGUAUGGAGAGGCGGUGGCGCGAGGCAUGGAGCACAACGAAGAAGUCGAGGAUCCUAUGCGCGAUGGACGGAACCGGAAUCGGAGUUCCGGCCUGCAGCGGGCGGUCCUUGCGUGGACUGCAUCCUACCGGCGCGUGCUUGCAUCAUCACGCCGCUCAGAUCUGGCGUAGUGGCAGGCAUGCGGCCGGGCAGCGGCAGCUUUUGGGAUCAGCUCCGGCAGACGCUAGCUGCUCUUCGUCUGGCCGCUAGGAGGUGCAAGGAGGUUGGGGCGGAGGCCCCGGAGUUGAUCUAUUUGGUUGUGAUGGUAAGGGGACCUGCACAUUGAUCUACGCGUGGACCCGUGUGGCGGCAUGGUCGGCUAGGUGGUCGUCUUCGUGGUGGUGGACGGAUCUCCUCCCUGCCAAAUCUCUCUGUCGAACUAUUCUGAACUCUCCCCUAACCGAGCUCUCCGUGGUUGCCGACCGCCGGCCUAGCUCCGGCGCCGUCGCCGGUUGGUCGUCUCCGCGUGCUCGGCCUGCCUAUCGUGCGUCCUGCCCCAGCCGACGCCCUGCGCGGGUAGGUGGAGAUGAGCCGUAGUUGUGGGCUGUUCUACCGGUCAUCAAGCCCAGCACCGUCGUGCAGCCGACCGCCGGCUUGGUUUGUGUUCUUUCAUUGACGAGAUCCAAGGAAGGCCGCUGGUUUGGAGUGAAGGACUGAAGGCUGAUGCACCAUGUCCGUCCGGCCGAGGACCUCCUCCUUGCAGAUGCAGCUGGAGGGCACGCCCAGAGCAUGUACCACCCCAGCUGCACCCAAUCGUGUGUCUCAUCAUUGGAGCAGCCGUUAAGAUGGUCCAAUCUCGUGAAAGCAACUAGCAGAAAAUUAAUAUGUGAAGACAUCAUGAAAUGAAGGAAGAGCCAGCCUAGGGAAAUUGCAAUGUUCCUAUCAUGUAAGUAUAUAUUGUUGAACCUCCAGAUAUUUUUAGCUGUUCAUUUAUGUUUCAUGAGCAUUGAUUUUUGUGCAUUCAGUGUGUUCGUACCUCUGAUUUUUUUGAUAUAUUUAGUUGUUUAAUGAUAAAAAUUAGAUGGCAUCCAAAAGUUCCUUUAAGAUCAAGAUCGUUGCACGAAAAGAGCCGCUACAAUAUUUUACUUUGGUCGUGGAUUUACUGCAUUUGAAUUGUGAAUUAACAUCCAAUUAGUAAUUAUAUCGGAACAUUAGUGUUCUACUGUUCUCCCUAUCCUUGCUUGCGUUAUUCCUGUUUUAGCAUCUCAGUUAAAUGUUCAAUGGGCAAACAUAUACUUCUAACUGCAUUUAUUUGACAGCUUGGUUUUGCAAUCAGAUCAAAAUAUAGAUUUGACCGUAUAAUAUCUAGAAAUAAAGUAGUUUGCCCAUAGGUAUUCCAUUUUUGUCCAAGGUGCAGAGUUUUCUGUAGCACCAAUAAUGUGUUGCUUUUCUCAUGGUAUUAUAGUCAAUACAACUGAAUUUCAUGUUUUGUCUUUUGCUUGGAGAAAUCCUCUUACUUUCAAUUUUCGUGAGACACUGAUGCAAUUAAUUAUUUUGUGGCACCAAAGGAUAAUCUGAAGAUUCUUGAAUUGUUACGCAUUUCUCUCUCUUGCAGUUCCAUUUAUACAAGUAACAUCACAGAAGAGUAAUCAUACACUUUUUUGCAGGGCGGCAAAGAUGAAUGCUUUGUAUGUGUCAUUCAUAUGUAAUUAGUAGGUUUCUUUCGGAAUAUUAGUGGUUCUCCAUAUCCUUGCUUGCGUUAUUCCUGUUUUAGCAUCUCAGCUAAAUGUUCAAUGGGCAAACAUAUGCUUCAAAUUCCAUUUUAUUUGACAGCUCGGUUUUACAAUGAGGUAAAAAAACUCAAAAUAUAGAUUUGACCAUAUAAUAUCUAGAAAUAAAUAGGUAUUCCAGUUUUUGUCCAAGGUGCAGCGUUGUUCGUAGCACCAUUAAUGUGUUGAUUCUCUCAUGGUAUUUUAGUUAAUAUAAAUGAAUGCCAUGUUUUGUUUUUUCUUUUGAGAAAUCCUCUUACUUUCAAUUCCCCUGAGACACUGAUGCAAUAUAUUAUUUUGUGACAGCAUGGCUAUGUGCCAUAGAUUCCUUGAAAUAGAACACACUAAGAACUAUAUUUGUGUCCUUUGGUUCCGAUUAGUUUUAUCUUUGCUCUAGAAGUAGUUCCGCUCAGAAGUUGUCUGGUUAUUUUUUGGUACAAACCUUUACAUUUCAGUCCAAUUUCUUAUAAAUUUACCAUGAGUUGGUCGCACUAGAAGUACACAUCAGUGAGCAGGCUUAUCUAAAAUUUAAAAUUCUGCCAGCACCAGCCAUUACUUGCUUCACGAAAACAAUUGCACAUAUUUCAGUAUAUCUUUUCAUUGUUAUUUUAUCACUGGAACUUAACAUUGCAGCCUGACUUCCGGAAUUUUGCUUAGAAUAAACCUUGAAACGGAAAAAAGUGAUACUAAUUCAACUAUGCGAAAGGAUACUACUUUUUUUAUAGUUAUAAUGUUUCAUUAUAUGUGUUAAUGUAAGCAUCCCUUUGAAUAUACGGUAUGUGAUUCUUAAGUUUAUUUUUAAUUAGUACGGCGGACUUUGCAAUGCAUUGUUUGAUUGUUGAUAGUUUUUAGUGUCCACUGAACACAAAUGAAGCAUGAACCAUUCCUUACAUAUAUAUACCUCCUGCUAUGACAUUGCUACCAAACUCUGAUCACUUGUCUACUGUAGUUGAUGCAGUUUAUGAUUUAUUUUCAGAAAAUUAUUUGGAAUCUUCCUAUUUAGCACAAGGUGCUAUGGUUUGACCUAAUAAUAAUGCACCAGACGCAAUGAAUGACUAUGGUUUUUUUUCUAGGGUCCUUGGGUUGCAAGGGAAUUUGAUAGUUGUGACACUAUCUUGUGGUGGCGUAAGUUUAUUGUACCCUCUGAAAUUCUUGUACUGCUGAACUUGGUAAUUUCCCACACCAGAAGAUCUCUUUGAAGGUUGGUGUCCCUAUAAUGUUGUUGAAUAAAACAAUCAGUGGACAGGGUUGUGCAACGGAACCUCUCUCAUAUUUACAGGAUUAAGGUUAGAUACUGGACACGGUAGGUGUUUAUUUAUCCAAACCUAUAUUUUCCCAUGAAGAGUCUUGAGAGUAACAGUGGAGAAAAAGUUUGUAAAUACUUGCACUAGACGACAGUGGUGUUGCAACUACUGAAACUACAAUUAUCUUAGACUAGGGGGUACUGGAGCAUCUGUAAGAGUAUGCACCUCAGAUCAUAUCAUGGUUGCAGGUACAUCUAUGAACAUAGACAUAGCUUCAUGCAUUCAGAUAAUUAAAAUGUUUCCUCUCUCUUUAUUUACACUGUUGAUUUCAUGUGGAACUAAUUAGGUUCCGUUCUAUUUUGUGCUUCAUCUAUUCAAUAUGAUCAUUUAUUUUGUCUGCCACUUCUAUACCAUGGCACAUUUGUUAGACUGUGCAGUUAAUUUUGGAAUAAACCUCCAGUGAGUAAAAAAGAUUUUGGUACAACAAAGACACUAAUUAUGAACUUUUUUCCUUGAAGAAAGCACCGGAAUCUCAGCUCCAGAUUAUAAGUUGUUCUGAAAGAGAGAAGUAAAGGAGUAUCCAAACCGAUCACAGACAUUCUGCAUCGAGGUAUCCAUUUUGUCGGCACCUGCCACCGAGAAUACCAUGUCAAGUGUUAUUCGUCUAUUUACCGCUAUAGUGAGUAUGGAACAUCGCCAACACGCCAUAGUUUAAGCAUUUAAGUAUCCAUGCAAUUCUACCAAAAAUAUUAUCCACCUGCCUGACAUCAAGUAUCUAAGUAUCCAUGCACAAUUACUGUAAAGACCCUUUUAGCUAAAUUUAUGUGUAGUCAACUAAUCCCUUGGGCUUAAUUGUCAUAUUUGGUAGAUCAAAUCAAUUUUUACUUCCAUGUUACUUACAACUGGUGCCCUAAAUUUCUCAAUAUUAUCGUGUACUCAUGAAUGGAGAGUACACCAGCAAAUUGCCCAAUAUCCUCCAUGAAGACAACAAGUCCACAACUCUUGCAGUAAGAGAAAAAAAAGGAGUAGGACACUUGCGUCCUUUUGGAGGAAGAGGAAAACGUACAAUUGAGGUCUCCAAGACCCAGAACAGCAACACACCAGUCCUAGAGAGCUUUAGUCAGUAAAAUUGCACCGUAUUUUUAUAUAAAAUAGAACCUGCUAGCUUCAGUGUGCUGCUUAGGUAACAUGUAUUUUUAUAUUAAAUAGAACCUGCUAUCUUCAAUGUGCUUCUUAGGUAACAUAGACCAGUAAAUAAACUAUGUAAUACCGAUUAUUUAGUAGUGCAUGCACUGUUUAUGUCACAUAAUCUCAUGGGCUAUGUAAUUACUUAUUGCAAAUUUGCAGUAGUACAUAGCCUUUGUUCUUCUGUAUGGAUGCACCUACCGGGUCAAAUCAUUUAACUGUGGCUUCACAAAGUAUUUUUGAACAUAUGUAUCAUUCAUGAGUGCACGCCACAUAGGCAAAAAAAAAAAAACACAACCAACAUGAAACGCUGCAAAGCUCUAUCACUGUGCCUCCAGAAUACAUGUCCAUGUCGCCAAACACAGCAUCCAAAACCACACACGCAGCAUACAAUAUCCCACAGCCCAUUGACAAAUAUAACUACCAUAUAAAAAUAAAACUGACACACAAGUAGAUCCUUACACACAAUUCUAAAUAGACAAAACAAAUUAACUAUAACCCACAAAUGUUUACCACCGCCAAAAAAUAUCAUCAACCAUCCACCACAUGGCGCGGCGUGCCGCCGCGCCUUCCAUUGCUAGUUACUAUACUAAACCUUAACAACUUCCUUUUUUGUUAGAGUUUUGAAUUUUUUUGUAGGUUAACGAUAAGUUGACACGUAUGUUACUUUCUCAUUAAUUCUGGCAGUAUUUUUUGGUGUACAGUUCUGGUGUAGUCUUGGAAUUUUGGUGCUCCCUUUUCACCAUUCUGUAAUGUGCUUCUUUACUGGCUGGGUGGAUGUAGCUAUUUUUUAGUGGACCCAAGUCUUGAACUUUGCGUCUGACCGGUCAAAGCGGUGGCCAUGCCCACGAUGGAACAAUGCUUAUCUCCCCCAUCCUCUGUCUCACAUGCUUCCUCGACACCACCGUCGAUGCCGUCCUUCUCCCAAGGCGGUUAGUAGCGCGGCGCAUUUCUUUCCUUUCCGAGGCCGAUGCGACUAGCCCUAUUCGGCGUCUCAACGUGACCUGGGCGACGGGCGGCCGCCACACCGGCAAUGAAGGCUGGCCACCACAUCUGAGAGCUGCGGGAGCAGGAUGAGGACGGCGUGCCGACCACGGAGGCGAGGCUCCGCGGCGGAGGAGGCCGGCGCGGUGCCGGGUCUUGCCGGCGAGCAGCAGGUCUAACCCGCCGGAACUGUGGCGACGACGGCGGUGUUUCGCUACGGCCGCACAGCUGCCCCGCCAAGCCGUCCGUCCCGUGUUUAGCGGCGGCGGUUUACGGGCGCACCACAGCGAGGGAUCAAGGGCCGUGUCUCUGCCCAUAGAGCCGCCACUCCCAUGUACUAUUGGCGCGCGGCGGCAGGGUUCACGGGCAUGGGCAGGCUCGACCGAGGCAACGAUAAUUUGAGGUCACGGCGAUUGCAGUGUCAGACGGCGGCGACUCGAAGGCAUGGAACAACGGUGUGUGGCAGGUGAAUCCCCAUAACUCCUCUAGCCUCUCUUGAAAACAGCGCUACGGUGGCUGUUGACCCCGCCCUAGAGCGCCCCCCAAUCUGGUGGAAGAGCUUGCGGUUGCGGCGACCUCUGCCAUAGAGCGGCAGAGCGCCCCACUUGGUGGCGGAUAUGCAGGAGGAGGAGGACGAGCCGGAUAUGGAGGAGGCCGAGGGGGCCGGGAAUCACGACCACGAGGUGCACGGCGGCGAAGUGGAGGCCGUCCUGCAAGGUCUGCGGCAGGUGUACUGUUGUAGGCGCAUAGGGUGCCGCCUUCCUCCGCGGUAGUGCGGCUGCAGUCCACGUCCCCUUCCAUGAAAUCCGGCUACUUCCCUCCGUGUAUGGCGGCCAUCUCAUGCCUCAUGGACGAUGGCGCCGGCGAACUUAGCAGCUGUUCUGGACUGGCUAUGGAGGAUGCUGUAGGCUCUGCAACACAGUGCAAUGUUCCCAUAUCAUCAGCACUUAUAUGUAUGUACUGUCUUGGCCUGAUGGGGUUCAGGUUGGUGUUCUGCGUUUUGUGCUUCAGGACCAAGAUGAUGCUUACACCACUAACUUCAGAUAUCUGCAGUGGACAGUUGCGAAUGUUUCAAGCCACCUACAAGAGCUGAUGCACUUUCAGAGAUGACAUAUUUAGUCUAGAUAAUACUGCACCUAUGUUAUUUGUUCUUCUUAUUGGCAGUUCGGUUCAUGCUAUGACAUAAGAUCCUCUUCUUGCUUGAAAAUUAAUGGUAUGUUAGUUAUAUCUCAGUAUUAUCCACCGAUGAAGUCAUGUUGUUGAUUUUCGGAUGGUAUUCGAGCCUUACUUUCUUUGGGUUAUGGAGCCAUUGCCAUCACACGGGUCCUCAAUGCGACUGAUCGGGCAAGAACCGAGAAGCUUACCACUGCGAAGAGUGCUGACUUCACGGAUGGUGAAAAUGAGUUGUCCUCCAAGUCAUUCUCCCUUGGUCAAGGGAAAGGAGAUCAUUGUUCUUUCUUCCGACGAUGAAUACUACUACUGGGAAAGCUGGGGCUGAUGACUAGAAGGGCACAAGAAAAAUGAUUGUAUGUAUAUAUUAUGUACUCAGUUAACUGGUGUCUUUCCUUACACCUGCACUUUCAUGAUCUAUUUAGUGCAUUCAAAAUCGAACAACUCGGUUGUAUAACAGUGCCUUACAUUUAAGUUAUUGCGAUGGCAGUCAGGGCUGCGGGCUAACCUGCCACAUUUGAUAGUUGCCUCCAAAGCAUACAUAUAAUGGGUAGCCUCUACAAAGGCGUUUUGUAAAAUACAUUCAGUCUGAUGUGUUGUGUAAUCAGUCUAUACUUUUGACCGCCAUUGUUCAGGAAUAAUGAUGGAACGCAUUGGUGA